UCAUAGCUCACCCUGUGUUAUAGGGGGCUGUCCUUCAAGAUUUUUCAUGAAGCUGCUACAAACCUCAAGCCCCAUCGCCAGGGUUUGAUGCCUGCUGCCGUAAACCUAGUGAAAUUUCCCACUGUAUUAUCUCAAGCUAGGUUGUCCUGGGUGGUCUGUACCUCUAGGGGAAGCCUGAGUGAAACAUACAAUUAAUCAGAAGGCCAAGGUAUGAUCUGGACAAGGAAUUCUGAGACACAAAUUUCGUGUUCUGGAGGUAUGACAGUGUGCAGAACAAGCAGUAUCCUUCUGUGAUCCAAUUCUUUGACUCGUCCAGUUGCAGGUUGUGGGUGGUAGAUAGCCUAAUGUGCCCAGGGAGAUGAAAUUGAGACUCCUUCUUGACAAGGCAGCAAUAUUUGGCAUAGAUAAUAACUGGGUUAUUAUAAUAACUGACCAACAUGGUAUAUUUUAUCCCUUGCUCCAGGUUAUUAUCUACCAUGGAGAGAGCAUCCACACUAUGUGGCCCUGUGGCACUGGGAGGGAGUCAGGCUCCACAUGGAUCACAAGAUAUGCAUCUCCUGCAGAAAAAUCUCCAGUGAUCUCAGUGAGACUUCAGCAGUCCUAUGGCCUUCUAGAACCAUAAACUAUCAUGUUGCCUUAUGAGGUGCAAGCUAGAUUUAUGGACACAAGAAAUCCUGGGAAAUCAGUGCUGGUGCCCAGAAUGGAGCGCAGUGGCUUGCUAAUGCAGCAUAAUAGCAGAGCUCCUCCAGUGUCUUUGGGACCAAAAUAUCUCAAAAGAAGAAGGAUUCACAAUCAAAUGAUCUGCAACACUAAGAAGAGCUCAAUCCUUGAAGACAGUGACUAUCUAGUGCCUUCUGAAUGUCUCAAGCAGUCCUGAAGUAUUUCAUCAAAUCAGGUCUUCAGGCCCCUUUCCCCACUGUGCCAUCCUGCCAGGCUCCUGCAGAGCUUCUGCUGACUCUAGUUUGCUUCCUAGAAAAAUAAGUGCAGGAGCAGAAGCGUUGCCUCUACGGAAAAGCCACCUUGGUUGUUCAGAUCACGUAAAAAGCCUAUAAAAACAAGAGACCAUUACAGAAGACCACAACAGAUCAAAGUGCAGAGAACAAGAGAUUGUAUGGUGCCCUGUCCCAAAUGACACAUCUACAACACAAUUUUUGCACCUUAGUCUAUGGGAUAUUGCAAAAGAAGGGGCAGAAAGAUUGGAAGAGCCAGAGAGGAGAAGAAAGUUUUCUGUCUCACCAGCAUGGCUGCCUGCACAAUGAUGACCCAAUGGACAUGCUAACAUGGAAGAGGUCAGUCUCAUGGAGCCUCAACCCUAGACAAAGAACUGUGAUCAACUGAGGAAUGCUGAGAGUGGGAGAGACAUUGUUCCUGAGGAACUAGCUCACAGUUGGUUAACUGAUACCAAAUGGUCAGCCCUGAGAUCAUAUGUAUACAGGUAACAUUUUACAGACUGAUCAGGUUGCAUGUAUGCUUCAGGUGUGGGGAUGUAUACAAUUUUUUAAAAAGAGGCCAUGAAUUUGAGAGAUGGAAAGGGGGUACAUGAGUGGGCCUGAAGGGAGGAAAAGGAAGAAAGGAAAUGAUGUGAUUAUAACUUAAAAAAAUAAAAAUACUAUAAAUUUAAGAACAUAGGGAUAAACAUAAGUAAAUAAGUGAAAGGCCUCUACAAUGAAAACUUUAAAACACUAAAGAACAAACUUGAAGACCCGUCAUGUUCAUAGUUUGGAAGAAUUAUUAUUGUAAAAAUGACUAUAUUGCCAAAACCAGCCUACAUACUCAAUGCAGCAUCCAUCAGAAUUUCAAUGCCUAUUUUUAGUUUGUUGAGGAACCUCCAUACUGAUUUCCAUAGUAGCUGAACUAAUUAACAUUUCAACUAGCAGGAUAUAAGGAUUCUUUUUUGUCUACAUCCUGACCAACAUUUUCUGUUUUCUUAAUGACUGCUUUUCUUACUGGGGUGAGAUAGGACUUCAGUGUAGUUUUAAUGUGCAUAUCUCUCAUGGUUAAUGAGGUUGAACAUUAUCUAUAUGGUUACUGGCCAUUUAUAGUUCAUCUUAUACAAUAGAGAAUUUUUCAGCUGUGGUGAAACAUAAAGUCAUGUUCUUUAUAGAAAAAUGGAUACAGCUGGAGAUAGACAUGUUAAACAAAUGAAGUCACUCUCAGAAAGACAAAUAUUGCAUGUUUUCAAUCAUCUGUAGGUCCUGGAUUCUAUAUACAUACAUAAAGUCAUACGUGCAUGGAUGACAUGAAAGUAGAUGUAAAACUGUCUAGGAGAACAGUGGGUACCAAUGGAAGGA